GACGAACGCUGGCGGCGUGCUUAACACAUGCAAGUCGAACGGAAAGGCCCUGCUUUUGUGGGGUGCUCGAGUGGCGAACGGGUGAGUAAAACGCGAGUAACCCGCCCCUGACUUUGGGAUAACUUCAGGAAACUGGGGCUAAUAUCGGAUAGGAGCUCUUGCUGCACGGUGGGGGUUGGAAAGUUUCGGCGGUUGGGGAUGGACUCGAGGCUUAUGAGCCUGUUGGUGGGGUAGUGGCUUACCAAGGCUUUGACGGGUAGCCGGCCUGAGAGGGUGACCGGGCACAAUGGGACUGAGAUACGGCCCAGACGCCUACGGGACGCAGCGGUGGGGAAUAUUGCGCAAUGGGCGGAAGCCUGAGGCGGCAGCGCCGCGUGCGGGAUGACGGCCUUCGAGUGGUAAACCGCUUUCGCCGGUGACGAAGCGUGAGUGACGGUAAUGAGUAAGGAAGCACCGGCUAACUACGUG
rnacentral:rRNA from 1 species